rnacentral:lncRNA from 1 species
UCACAGUGGUAUAGGGGAGCAAGCAUCACUUUACUGGGGGAGGGUACAGGGGGGUCUUUAUCAUCACCAGCAUCAUCUUGUUCAUGCAAAGGUCAUUAUAAUAGGAGAUACAUAUCUAUCUAGAUAUAUACCAUAUAUAUAAAACAUUUUUGUGUUUUUAUGUAUAAAGGACUUUAUUAUAAGGAAUUUUAUUAUAGUACCCCCAUUAUUUUCCUUGGUACCUAUAAAAGCCACCUAAAAUUUGGUAAACUCAGCACCUGAGAAGCAAGUCAGCACCGCUUGCAUGGAGGGGGAGAUACGAGGCGUGAAUCUUAGUAACCUAUAGCAGCCAACAUUCCUGCGUGAGGCAAAAUCUCAUCUACAGCAAGAGAUGAGAAGUCACGCAGGGAGAAACAUGCCUGGCAAAGUCAUUACCUGACUCCAGAUGUGGUAAGUUCGGCGGUUUCUUUAGAAAGCUAAACAUGCAACCCAGCAAUCAAGCUUUUAGUUAUUUACCAAAAUGAAAACUUACAUCCACGCAAAAACCUGCAUGUGAAUGUUAUAGCAGCUUUAUUCAUCAUCGGCCAAAAUUGGAAGCAAUCACGAUGUCCUUUAAUAGUUGAAUGGGGACACUAUGGUACAUCCUACUACUUGGAGAUCAUGGAGCUCUUAAGUGGAAUGAAUUUGAUUCACAAGUACAGCAAUUGUUCCUUCAAUUGCCGAUGUUUCCCACAGUAUAUGUUUUAUUCUUUCAAAGUUUAAUCAAUAAGCUUAGUGAGUUGCCUCUUUCUCACCUGUUUCUUAUAUACAACGUUCUCUAGUUUCUAGAUUUGUGGGGCUUUUUGUUUGACAUCAGGAUUGUAGGUGUGGACAUAAUUGUGUCAGAUGCAUAUUUUAUUAAUUUUUGAAUGAAGAGAUGGUCAUAGAUGGUCAGAUGUAACGUGUGAGGCAUCCACGUGAGGUCCUCAUGGGGUUGGAAAGAUUUUUUAGAAUGUGUGUUUUCGAGAGGAUCAUGCCUAAUAUACCUUGGGACUGUAUACACUGUUACAUGAUUAAUGAUUCAUGCCACUGCUGCCCAGAAAGAGUGAGUCACUUUGGAAUAGAAGAGACCUCCCUAGUAGCUAGGAUUACAGGCAUGUGCCACCAUACCCAGUUAGUUUUUAUAUUUUUAGUAGAGACGGGAUUUCGCCAUGUUAGCCAGGCUGGUUUCCAACUCUCGUUCUCAGGUGAUCCAUCCACCUCAGACUCCCGAAGUGCAGGGAUUACAGGCAUGAGCCGCUGCACUCAGCCUAGUUGCUUUUAUUUAAACAGCAUUUGUCUCCACCUUGGUGUUCCCAAGCCAUCUUCAUCUUGGCAAAAUCACUUGAUACAUUUGGUAAUCACCUUGCCUUUACCAAUUCAGUAGGUUUUUUGUCUAUAUUGAAACGUAUUUAGUGUAUUUGUCAAAACCCAUAGAACUGUACAAUUCAGAGUGAACUCUAAUGUAAAUUAUAGACUUUAGUUAGUAAUGUGACUGUCAGUUCAACUGGAACAAAUGUGCUACACUACUGCAAUAUGUUAACACAGGAAAACUAUGGCAGGGAAGAGAAAGGGAAUAUAUGGAAUGUACAUUAACUCUAUACUUAGUCUGCUCAAUUUUUCCAUAAAUCUAAAACUGCUCUAAAAAUUGUAUAUUAGUUAAAAAAAAAACUCUGGAAAUCAUCAAGACGUUGAGAAAUGGGGGUUCUCUUAAUUUGGGGGACUACUUUUUCUAACCCUAUACAAUUUAAUGCCAGACUUUCUUCUUCUGUCAGCACAUCUGUCUCAAACCUUCCUACUAGACUGAAAUGAUCUAUUUUCAAUCCUUAGUGAGACUUCUUUCUUUCUUUCUUUCUUUUUUUUUUUUUUUUUUGAGACAGAAUUUUGUCUGUUGUCAGGCUGGAGUGCAGUGGCAUGAUCUCAGCUCAGUGCAACCUCUGCCUCCUGGGUUUAAGUGAUUUCAAAGGACUUGAGAGGACACUAAUCUGUUCAGAUUUUACAUCACUGGAUUUACCAAACCCUCCUUGAAUCUGUUUACAUUUUCAGUGUUACCAGCACUUGGAAAAUAAUUUCACUCUCCUUCUUUUAUUUUUCCCCAUAACUAUCAUGUUUAAUGCAAAACCUGGCUGGUAUCACUGAAACAGUUCCUUCAGGACUUUCCAAGUUAAACAUACUAGGCAUAGUGAAAUCAAACUUUUUCCUAGGAAUGUUCUCUUGCCCAAUAUCUGUGUUAAUUAUCAUACUUGAAGCUGAUCAGGGAAGGGUGCUGAAAGCAGCAAUGUAAUAGACAUCUACUACUUCCUCCAAGUUUGCUCAACAUGCUCAACAUGAUUGUGUAAAAAUAUUUUCAUUUGACAGUGUGCAGCAAAGGCUCCUGGCCAAUGGCACUCUGUGUUGUGACUGUUUUUUGUUAGUUUCUGUCAUGGACUUUCUUAUGUAUUAACAUACCACCUAAGGGGCCUGUAUGCUAAUAUGAAGGUCCUGUCCAAGAAAAAGGAAAUGAGAUCCAAGGCUUGGCUGAGGCGGGUGGAUCACGAGGUCAGGAGAUCGAAAUCAUUCUGGCUAACACGGUGAAAUCCCAUCUCUACUAAAAUUACACACAAAAAAUUAGCCAGGCAUGGUGGCGGGCUAAGAGGGGGAAAUGGAAUAACUCCCAUCUUGUCUGGAAAUGGUAGUCCCUGUUUUUUAAAAAAGAGUUAUUUAUUUAUUUAUUUAUUUUGAGACAGGAUUUUAUUCUGUCUCCCAAGCUGGAGUGCAGUGGUGUGAUCAUAGUUCAAAAAUUACAGGUCAGUGGAGGUCUUCAGCCAGAUGAAUCCAAGGAAUAACCAAGGGUGCAAGAUUAUGCCAUUUCUUCAAGGGGACUUAAAAGGUGAGGCACUUGAAAGAUGUGAAUUGAGCUAUACUAGGAAACUCUGUGCUUCCUUGGCUUUUUGGCACCAUUGGUAGUCACUUUGACAUGUCAAUAAUGAUAAUUGCAAAGAAGACUGUUGUUCCAAGUAAUGGAUAACACAGCAUCUGAACCUACCUGGAUACUUUUUCAAUAUCUAAAGAAUUAUGUUGUAUAAAAAGAUGCUCGAAGCCCAGGUUUGAAUUUACUACAGGACAAGUCUGAAAAAUACCUUAUUGUUUUUCAGUUACUUGCGCUCCAGCUGUUCAUCCUAAAAUGAAUCCAAUUUUCCUUGUUAAAUGCUGUUAUAAAAUCAAGGAUGUAUCCCCACAAGGAAAAAAGAAAAUCCUCAAUGGACUCAAUUAAAAACUUUUGGUGAGAUAUAGUUGAAAUGGUGGCCAGCUUCAUAGGCCCUAUGGGAUUUGUUGUCCAGGAACAUUUUGGGAAAGAGAAGAGGCGUAAGGAGGUAGGGAAGGGCUCCUGGCAAAGACAAAAUUGCGAGCCGACAUUGUGCCACUGCACUCCAGCCCGGCAACAGAGGCUGGAGUGCAGAGACUCCAUCUCAAAAAAAAAAAAAAAAAAAAAAAAAAAAUAUAUAUAUAUAUAUAUAUAUAUAUAUGUGUGUGUAUAUAUAUAUAUAUAUAAUACACGUAUUAUACGUGUAUUAUACGUAUGUAUUACUAUACUAUACCAUAUUCAAGAUUAAUUAUGUUAAAAUGUCAGUUUUCCCCAAAUGUGUCUCCAGAUUUUCAGUGUAAUCUCAAAAUUCCAAGAGGCUGUUUCUCCUUGACAAGCAGAUAUUGACCUAAUGCUAGAUCUAUUAUGAUCAAAGGAACAGAAUAGAGUGCCCAGAAGUAGAUCAAUACUUACAUAUAGUGAUAUGGUUUGGCUGUGAGUACUGAGAAUGGUUUUGAGAGGAGAUUACUUAUCAUGUUUCAGUACUCCUUGCUCUUCUUUCUUAUGAAGUAUUUUUAGUUCAGGGAUUUGUGGGUCACUGAUGGGAUGGGUGCCUGAACAUUUACACUUCUGUUUGGUUGUACUCCAGCUGGGGGAAUUUGGACUGAAUUAGCCAGCUUAAUUCCAUUUGAAACCUUAAUUCUCCUUACUAUGUAACAUAAUGUAGUCACAAAUCAAGGGAUUAGUUUGAGGACCUCUUUCAGGGACUAUUAUUCUGCCUACCACAGCUAGCCUUUGGUUUCUGCCUCCAAUGCAGCAUGCUCAAUAAUAAAUAGCACCUGCACACUAUUCAGUAGUUUUCUUCAAAAAGUAUGACCCUUCACUGGCACUCUAGUUCCAGCCCUCCAGUGGCUUACUCUUUGGAUAUGAUCUGAACACUUUGCCAUAACCCAUAAGAAAUACACUGCAUGGCCUCUGACCAGUCUCUGUCAUUACCUUUUUAUACUUUCUUGGUCACUCCUUUGGUCUAACAACACUCUCCUUUCUGUUUCCUCAAACACACCCAAAUUUCUUUGCUCUUUAGAAUGUGUUUCCCUAGGAUUUUAGAUUGCUUGUCUCCUCCUUUAUUUGUCAUUGGGUGUCAGCUCAGUUAUCACCUAUUUAGAGAUGUCUUCUCAUCCUGUCUGAAGUGGUAACUCCAUCCACAUUUGCCAACACAUCACACUUUCUUAUACUCCUCAUGAUACUUGUAUAUAUCCAAAAUUAUCUUGUUCAUUUAUGUGUUUACUGUCUGUGUCUAACUCUUGAUUAACAAGUAAACUCCAUGAUAUAGGGGCUUUGACAGUCUUAUUCACUGCUGUAUUUUCAGGGUCUAUAAUCAUGUCUGGUAAAUAACAGGUGUUUAAUAAAUAUUUCUUGAAUUAAUAAAACAAAUUAAUAGGCCUUUUUUUGGUUGGUGGGUUGGUUGGCUGGCUUUUUUUGGUUUGUUUUUGUUUUUUUGUUUGUUUUUGUUUGUUUGUUUGU